rnacentral:rRNA from 1 species
UUAAGCGACUAAGCGUACACGGUGGAUGCCCUGGCAGUCAGAGGCGAUGAAGGACGUGCUAAUCUGCGAUAAGCGUCGGUAAGGUGAUAUGAACCGUUAUAACCGGCGAUUUCCGAAUGGGGAAACCCAGUGUGUUUCGACACACUAUCAUUAACUGAAUCCAUAGGUUAAUGAGGCGAACCGGGGGAACUGAAACAUCUAAGUACCCCGAGGAAAAGAAAUCAACCGAGAUUCCCCCAGUAGCGGCGAGCGAACGGGGAGCAGCCCAGAGCCUGAAUCAGUGUGUGUGUUAGUGGAAGCGUCUGGAAAGGCGCGCGAUACAGGGUGACAGCCCCGUACACAAAAAUGCACAUGCUGUGAGCUCGAUGAGUAGGGCGGGACACGUGGUAUCCUGUCUGAAUAUGGGGGGACCAUCCUCCAAGGCUAAAUACUCCUGACUGACCGAUAGUGAACCAGUACCGUGAGGGAAAGGCGAAAAGAACCCCGGCGAGGGGAGUGAAAAAGAACCUGAAACCGUGUACGUACAAGCAGUGGGAGCACGCUUCGGCGUGUGACUGCGUACCUUUUGUAUAAUGGGUCAGCGACUUAUAUUCUGUAGCAAGGUUAACCGAAUAGGGGAGCCGAAGGGAAACCGAGUCUUAACUGGGCGUUAAGUUGCAGGGUAUAGACCCGAAACCCGGUGAUCUAGCCAUGGGCAGGUUGAAGGUUGGGUAACACUAACUGGAGGACCGAACCGACUAAUGUUGAAAAAUUAGCGGAUGACUUGUGGCUGGGGGUGAAAGGCCAAUCAAACCGGGAGAUAGCUGGUUCUCCCCGAAAGCUAUUUAGGUAGCGCCUCGUGAAUUCAUCUCCGGGGGUAGAGCACUGUUUCGGCAAGGGGGUCAUCCCGACUUACCAACCCGAUGCAAACUGCGAAUACCGGAGAAUGUUAUCACGGGAGACACACGGCGGGUGCUAACGUCCGUCGUGAAGAGGGAAACAACCCAGACCGCCAGCUAAGGUCCCAAAGUCAUGGUUAAGUGGGAAACGAUGUGGGAAGGCCCAGACAGCCAGGAUGUUGGCUUAGAAGCAGCCAUCAUUUAAAGAAAGCGUAAUAGCUCACUGGUCGAGUCGGCCUGCGCGGAAGAUGUAACGGGGCUAAACCAUGCACCGAAGCUGCGGCAGCGACGCUUAUGCGUUGUUGGGUAGGGGAGCGUUCUGUAAGCCUGUGAAGGUGUGCUGUGAGGCAUGCUGGAGGUAUCAGAAGUGCGAAUGCUGACAUAAGUAACGAUAAAGCGGGUGAAAAGCCCGCUCGCCGGAAGACCAAGGGUUCCUGUCCAACGUUAAUCGGGGCAGGGUGAGUCGACCCCUAAGGCGAGGCCGAAAGGCGUAGUCGAUGGGAAACAGGUUAAUAUUCCUGUACUUGGUGUUACUGCGAAGGGGGGACGGAGAAGGCUAUGUUGGCCGGGCGACGGUUGUCCCGGUUUAAGCGUGUAGGCUGGUUUUCCAGGCAAAUCCGGAAAAUCAAGGCUGAGGCGUGAUGACGAGGCACUACGGUGCUGAAGCAACAAAUGCCCUGCUUCCAGGAAAAGCCUCUAAGCAUCAGGUAACAUCAAAUCGUACCCCAAACCGACACAGGUGGUCAGGUAGAGAAUACCAAGGCGCUUGAGAGAACUCGGGUGAAGGAACUAGGCAAAAUGGUGCCGUAACUUCGGGAGAAGGCACGCUGAUAUGUAGGUGAAGUCCCUUGCGGAUGGAGCUGAAAUCAGUCGAAGAUACCAGCUGGCUGCAACUGUUUAUUAAAAACACAGCACUGUGCAAACACGAAAGUGGACGUAUACGGUGUGACGCCUGCCCGGUGCCGGAAGGUUAAUUGAUGGGGUCAGCGCAAGCGAAGCUCUUGAUCGAAGCCCCGGUAAACGGCGGCCGUAACUAUAACGGUCCUAAGGUAGCGAAAUUCCUUGUCGGGUAAGUUCCGACCUGCACGAAUGGCGUAAUGAUGGCCAGGCUGUCUCCACCCGAGACUCAGUGAAAUUGAACUCGCUGUGAAGAUGCAGUGUACCCGCGGCAAGACGGAAAGACCCCGUGAACCUUUACUAUAGCUUGACACUGAACAUUGAGCCUUGAUGUGUAGGAUAGGUGGGAGGCUUUGAAGUGUGGACGCCAGUCUGCAUGGAGCCGACCUUGAAAUACCACCCUUUAAUGUUUGAUGUUCUAACGUUGACCCGUGAUCCGGGUUGCGGACAGUGUCUGGUGGGUAGUUUGACUGGGGCGGUCUCCUCCUAAAGAGUAACGGAGGAGCACGAAGGUUGGCUAAUCCUGGUCGGACAUCAGGAGGUUAGUGCAAUGGCAUAAGCCAGCUUGACUGCGAGCGUGACGGCGCGAGCAGGUGCGAAAGCAGGUCAUAGUGAUCCGGUGGUUCUGAAUGGAAGGGCCAUCGCUCAACGGAUAAAAGGUACUCCGGGGAUAACAGGCUGAUACCGCCCAAGAGUUCAUAUCGACGGCGGUGUUUGGCACCUCGAUGUCGGCUCAUCACAUCCUGGGGCUGAAGUAGGUCCCAAGGGUAUGGCUGUUCGCCAUUUAAAGUGGUACGCGAGCUGGGUUUAGAACGUCGUGAGACAGUUCGGUCCCUAUCUGCCGUGGGCGCUGGAGAACUGAGGGGGGCUGCUCCUAGUACGAGAGGACCGGAGUGGACGCAUCACUGGUGUUCGGGUUGUCAUGCCAAUGGCACUGCCCGGUAGCUAAAUGCGGAAGAGAUAAGUGCUGAAAGCAUCUAAGCACGAAACUUGCCCCGAGAUGAGUUCUCCCUGACUCCUUGAGAGUCCUGAAGGAACGUUGAAGACGACGACGUUGAUAGGCCGGGUGUGUAAGCGCAGCGAUGCGUUGAGCUAACCGGUACUAAUGAACCGUGAGGCUUAACCUU